ACGUGAGUAACCUGCCCCUGACUCUGGGAUAAGCCCGGGAAACUGGGUCUAAUACCGGAUAUGACCGCCUCCGGCAUCGGGUGGUGGUGGAAAGUUUUUCGGUUGGGGAUGGGCUCGCGGCCUAUCAGCUUGUUGGUGGGGUAGUGGCCUACCAAGGCGACGACGGGUAGCCGGCCUGAGAGGGCGACCGGCCACACUGGGACUGAGACACGGCCCAGACUCCUACGGGAGGCAGCAGUAGGGAAUCAUCCGCAAUGGGCGAAAGCCUGACGGUGCAACGCCGCGUGAGUGAUGAAGGUU
rnacentral:rRNA from 1 species